UACGUAGGUGGCAAGCGUUGUCCGGAAUUAUUGGGCGUAAAGCGCGCGCAGGCGGUCCUUUAAGUCUGAUGUGAAAGCCCACGGCUCAACCGUGGAGGGUCAUUGGAAACUGGGGGACUUGAGUACAGAAGAGAAGAGUGGAAUUCCACGUGUAGCGGUGAAAUGCGUAGAGAUGUGGAGGAACACCAGUGGCGAAGGCGGCUAUCUGGCACACAACUGACGCUGAGGCGCGAAAGCGUGGGGAGCAAACAGG
rnacentral:rRNA from 1 species